rnacentral:tRNA from 1 species
GGAGAGAUGGCCGAGUUGGUCGAAGGCGCACGAUUGGAAAUCGUGUAAGCGCGAAGAGCGCUUCGUGGGUUCGAAUCCCACUUUCUCCGCCA